AAACUUUUACUCUAUAAUGCGUUAUUUUCAUCUCACAUAAACUACUGUAGUCUAGUGUGGGCAGAUACAUCUAAAGAAAAUCGGAACAAAAUAUUUUUACUGCAGAAAAAAGCAAUUCAUCAUAUUGCAAACGUACGAUACUUCGAAGGUCGCAGUGAUUUAUUGAGAGAAUAUAACAUUUUACCGAUUGAUCACAUACACAGCUUUAACCUUAUUAUGAAAUACAAACAAAGCUUGCUAUCAAACAACGCUUGUUUUUUUAAA